AGCUGCUCCAAACCUACUAGAAAGACAUCUGGUUAAACACCACAUGUGUAGUGUAUCGCCUCACCGGUCACAGUAAAUGUUUUUAUAGUGGACAUACCAAGUACGACUGAAAGAUGAGAGAGAAGUUUAUUCACGUUCGAGAGCACCUUGAGGAUCCCUGGCCUUGUUGCAUGUGAAACUGAGUGAGCACCUGCCUUCUUCACUUGUCUUGUGAGGAUGACAUAGGGGCAGGUGUCUAUGCUGUGUCCAGACGACUCCACGUGGGCACGCAAGUCAAACUCCUCUUUACGGUUCGGCAGAUAGCGCGUCAUUGGACGGGCCUGUGAAGAAACAGUUUCAUACAGCUUCAAUGCCGCUAACCAAGUGCAGUGAGAAAGACGUGGGGGGAAACAGAAGGGCUGUUUUAAGUUUUCUGGGCCAAGUUAAGAUUCAGAUGUUUCAGACUGCAGUUUUGUGUUUUAUACCUGUAGCCCGUAUAAAAAAUUAACAUGUGAGGAUAUACAAGACCUGUCUGACGUAUUUUAAUUUAUGUUUUAAAACAUGAGACUUCUGAUUUCAAAUCUCAAGUCAAAUCAGAUCUCAAUUCUGAAUUUUUGUGACUUAAACCUGCAAUCAUUUUUGUGUGUUUGGCUACCUGGGAGCAGUGGAGACAAGCAUGCAAACAUUUGUCACAAAGCAACACAUGCUGUCAUUUGGAGUUAUGGUCGCCAGCUUUGUCUGCAGUUUGGUGCUGAGCAGGCAGUGUGUGUUGGGUUUUGAAUGCGGAAGCUGAAAAUGACGCUAACGAGAGCAAACCAAAACAGUAAAACUGCAUCAGUAAAACCAAAACGAUGAGCUAAAAGACACUAGCAGGCUCUUUUGAGCUGUGGGGAAAUGAGUUGGGUUAAAAAUUGUACAUUAGGUUCAUUAAAAAAUAUUGACUACAACAGCUUAUGUCGGACUCAAGAACAAAGACAACUCUGAAGAUAAGUGGAACAAGGUGUGUCUGUUAUUUGAUAUUUGAUGGUGUUUGUUUGCUUGCAGUGCUCAUACCACAGAGAACUACUAAUUAAAUACACUCAGUCAAGAUUAAAGCUUUAAUUAUGUGUACAUUAUAUAUUUUGUACAACCCCCCCAUCCAUUUUCUCUCUGUUCUUCCUCUCACCCUCUCCACUCUCCUAUCUGUUGUCUCCCCUUUCUCUCCCUUUCCUGGCAAUCUUUGAUCUUCCCAUAUACCCAGCCUCUCUUUAGUGUCUCGCCUCUCAUCCUCUCCCCCAAGUCUCCCGUCCCCUCCUCCCUCCUCCCUCCUCCUCUCUCUUCUUCCCGCCGCCCGUCUCCUCCCGCUGCUCCACUGACCUGGGAGAAGUGUUUCUCUCUCAUCUUCACCUCCUCCUCCACCAGCCUCUGCCUGUGGGCCGUCUCAUCCUGAAGCCUCCUCUCGGCCUCCUCUCGCCUCCUCCGCUCCUCCUCCAACAUCUGCCGCCGAGCCUGCACCUCCCUCUCCUGGGAGCGUCGGGAGAGGAGACAGAGGAACAGAUGGAGAGAAGAGAGGAAAAAAAAAUAAGACAGGGGGAAAAAGUGAGACGGGGACAAUAUGUAAAUUUUAGGCAAAUAUUGCAAUACAAAGUGAACGACUGUCAGAAGAGGCACAGGAGAAUUCAAGUCCCAAUCCAGGGUUUUGUAAAAUAUAUCCCUUAAGUCUGUAUAUAGAAGGGCAAGCUUUGCUGAUGUAAAAUGAUCCUUUGCAGCUUUCAGAUACUUACAUACAGGUCUACUUUGUUUCAGCAUGUAGAAAUGAUACAAAGGUAAACAAAGUUCAUUUCACCACCUCUGAGCUGAGUGAUCACUUUGAGAAUGACAUACUGUGAUAUUUCAAAGCUACCGUUCAUCAACGUUCAGUGGAAGCUGUAUGUAAUCAUAUCAUUACUGCUUUACAAAAUGUGUGGUGCAAAUUAAAGAC